rnacentral:rRNA from 1 species
AUGCAAGUCGAGCGAACCGAUUAAGAGCUUGCUCUUAUGAAGUUAGCGGCGGACGGGUGAGUAACACGUGGGUAACCUGCCCAUAAGACUGGGAUAACUCCGGGAAACCGGGGCUAAUACCGGAUAACAUUUUGCGCCUCAUGGCGCGAAAUUGAAAGGCGGCUUCGGCUGUCACUUAUGGAUGGACCCGCGUCGCAUUAGCUAGUUGGUGAGGUAACGGCUCACCAAGGCGACGAUGCGUAGCCGACCUGAGAGGGUGAUCGGCCACACUGGGACUGAGACACGGCCCAGACUCCUACGGGAGGCAGCAGUAGGGAAUCUUCCGCAAUGGACGAAAGUCUGACGGAGCAACGCCGCGUGAGUGAUGAAGGCUUUCGGGUCGUAAAACUCUGUUGUUAGGGAAGAACAAGUGCUAGUUGAAUAAGCUGGCACCUUGACGGUACCUAACCAGAAAGCCACGGCUAACUACGUGCCAGCAGCCGCGGUAAUACGUAGGUGGCAAGCGUUAUCCGGAAUUAUUGGGCGUAAAGCGCGCGCAGGUGGUUUCUUAAGUCUGAUGUGAAAGCCCACGGCUCAACCGUGGAGGGUCAUUGGAAACUGGGAGACUUGAGUGCAGAAGAGGAAAGUGGAAUUCCAUGUGUAGCGGUGAAAUGCGUAGAGAUAUGGAGGAACACCAGUGGCGAAGGCGACUUUUCUGGGUCUGUAACUGACACUGAGGCGCGAAAGCGUGGAGGAGCAAACAGGAUUAGAUACCCUGGUAGUCCACGCCGUAAACGAUGAGUGCUAAGUGUUUAGAGGGUUUCCGCCCUUUAGUGCUGAAGUUAACCCAUUAAGCACUCCGUCCUGGGGGAGUACGGGCCGCAAGGCUGAAACUCAAGGAUUGACGGGGGCCCCGCACAACCGGUGGGAGCAUGUUGGUUUUAAUUCGAAGCAA